rnacentral:rRNA from 1 species
UACGUAGGGUGCAAGCGUUAAUCGGAAUUACUGGGCGUAAAGCGUGCGCAGGCGGUUUUGUAAGACUGUCGUGAAAUCCCCGGGCUUAACCUGGGAAUGGCGAUGGUGACUGCAAGGCUAGAGUUUGGCAGAGGGGGGUAGAAUUCCACGUGUAGCAGUGAAAUGCGUAGAGAUGUGGAGUAACACCGAUGGCGAAGGCAGCCCCCUGGGUCAAAACUGACGCUCAUGCACGAAAGCGUGGGGAGCAAACAGG